GAGAGAGAGAGAGAGAGAGAGAGAGAGAAUUCUGUGACUUGCCAGCUUUAUCUUCCCCUCUGAACGCAAAGUCCUCUGGGGUAUGUAGUUCUUCUCUUCUGAGAGCCAGGUAUUCAGAAAACCUGCAGUCCACAGAAGUGGAGCAUUAACUCUUUAACUCCCAGUGCUUUACAUGAUGUUAUGAUGUGGGAUACCGAUAACAAAAAUCAUUAAACCAUGACACAAUUUGAAAGGGAUUUCCAUUCAAUGUUACCUAGAAUGUCAUAAACAAUAAGGCCACAGCUUUUGUAUUAGUGAUAGCCAGUGCUUUGUUCCAUAUGUUAUAACCAAUCACUGUACUAGGACUAAAUCAUAAGAGAGCUCUACUCUAUCUGUUAAGGCAGAGUGUGGGCCCAUCAAAAGGAUAGGAAGUGCAGAGAGCGGUUGUAAAUCAUAGAGUUAUAGAAUGGCUUGGGUUGGAAGGGACCUCAGGGAUCAUCAGUUUCCAACCCCCCUGCCACAGUGUCCUGGUAAUAUCAGUUUUCCAUAUCAGGACAUCAUGCAACAGGCUGUUGGGUGCAGAGGCACAGUGCACUGUGGAGCUGUAGUUCCUGUUUUUUUUAGCAGUCUCACAUGAGUUCUGACUCUCCAAGAGGAAGAUACACUGAGAUGUACUAUAUUUCCCAAGAGCCUCUGCAUGAUCUCCAAUUCCAGAUGAUGAAGAUGCAGCUCUUCCAGGUUCCGGCAGUGCAGCAAGCGGCAUGGGAGAGAUGGGGGCCUCUUUCCCUGUCACGCUUGAAAACGCGAUACAAGACAAGUGAUGAUGACUCGCUGCAAAGGCUCUCAACAAGCAGUGAUGCAAGAUGACCCGUGAUGAUGACCUGUGAUGAUGGACAAUAACACAUGAUGACAUAAUGACAUAAGAGAUGACUCACAGCUAUGGAUGAGAACUCAUGAUGACACACAAUGACAUACAAAACCAAAAUAUGACAGUAGGUGACAACAUCCAAUGACAUACAAAGUUAACUUGCAACAAUAAAUGAGGGCAUUUGCUGACACGCAGUGUCAAGUCAUAGACAUGAAUGGCAACACAUCAUGACACUUGAUUACACGUGAUGACAUGUUUCAUGUGAUAACGUGAUGGUGACUCAUGACAGUGGAUGACAGUAAGUCAUGACACAUGGUGACACACAGUGACAACUCAGGAAGAUGGAUGGCAACACAUGAUGACACGUAAUGACAGAUGAAAACAGAUGAGUACACAUGACAAUCCAUGACAACACUUCAUGAUUAUGGAGGUCAACAUGUGACCACAUGUGAUGAUACAUGACAGCAACCCACGGUAAUGGUUGAUGACAUGCAAUGAUAUGUGGUGAACCACAGGGAUGACACAAUGACAGGCAAUGACACAUCAUGACACUUGAUACCAACUCAUGAUGGAGAAGAUGAUGACACCUGACAACAUGUGAUAAUGAUUUGCACUGAUGGAUAACAGCAAAUCAUGACACAUGAUGACACGCAAAAUGACUUGUGAAGAUGGACAGUGACACGUGACAGUGACUCACAGUGAUGGACAAUAAUAAGUUAACUCAAUGUCAGGUGACGACACACCAUGACACAUAAUUACAAGUGACGAUGACUCACAAUUGACACAUGAUAACACAUCAUGCCACAUGAUUACAUGCAGUGACGACUAAUGAUUGAGAUGUGAUGACAAGUCAUGACAAUGACACAUGACAUCAAAUCACGACGAUGUAUCAUGGCAUCUUUUGGUGUGUCUUGAUGCAUGACGAUGACUUGUGAAAAUAAGUGAUGACACAUCGUGACAUGCAACAACAUGCUUUCAGGUUGCCUGGAUCGAUGGGCUGAGGCUAGUUGGAUAAGUUUUAACAAAACCAAGUGCCAAGUCCUGCUCAAGUCUUAUGGGGAGUAGCUGAGGGAACUGCAAUUGUUUAGUCUGGAGAAGAGGAGGCUCAGCGGACACCUUAUUGCUCUCUACAAUUGCCUGAAAGGCGAUUGUGGUAAGGUGGGGUUUGGCCUCUUCUCCCAGGUAACUAGUGAUAGGAGGGAAAGGGAAUGGCCGCGGAUUGCACCAGGGCAAGUUCAGUUUGGAUAUUAGGAAAAAUUUCUUCUCUGAAUGAGUGGUAAUGGUACAGGGUGCCCAGAGAGGUGGUAAAGUCACCGUCUCUGAGGUGUUCAACAAAAGUGUUGAUGUGGCACUGAGGGACGUGUUUUCAUUGGCAUGGUGGGGGAUGGGUUGAUAGUAGGACUUGGUGAUCUUAGAGGGCUUUUCCAGCCUCAAGGAUUCCAUGAUCUUAAGGAACUGACAAACUCCAUUCAGGCCUGUGUCUUUUCUUUCAUGCCUGAUGUCACAUGGUGGAGCGGUUGCACCAUUUAUGUCUUCCAUCCUCUUUCUAGAGCUGCAAGAACCACGGGAACACACUCCUAACUUCUAACUCCUCAUUUUCCCUCCCUCUUUCAGAAUGUAUUAUUCCCAAAUUAUUCCUCAGAACAUUUUUGCUUUGUUUUUAGUAUUAAUGAAGUAUUCAGGCAGAGGCAGUGCUGCAACCUUAAUAGGCAAUGUUACAGCUGAGGGUUUGUAAUGCAAAAGUGCCAUCGCUUCUGCUUAAAGUUUACUAAACCCGAAGAAAGUAUGAGGAAGUAAGUUAGUUUCAUCAAUUUAAAAGAGAGGUACUCACACGUGCCCUAUUACAGAUGGCUGUUGGCACAUAGAGUGUCAGUUAAGUUCUCAAUCCUGGCAGUGAAUGGCUAGAGUGUCUGCACAACCCACUACAACUGUUGCUUUCUAUAUAUACAAUCAAGAGACAAGAAGGCAUCACGUAACAGCAUAAGCAAGAAAGCAUGAAGACUUGGUUAAAGUGCAGAGCAGUUUCUCACAAGCAGGUUUCUUCUAGCCCAAUGCAGAAGCAAGAGGCAGUUUACAUGUGUUCUGAAGCUCACACAAGCCCUUUCUCAGGGGCUAGCCACCUGCUCAGGCUGUGAUCUGUGUUUUUCCCACGCAUAUGGAAGAUUUACUUAGCCUUGAGUGGGACCAAAGUGAGGACAUUUAGAAGAAUCUGGUCAACAUUGUACUGAACAGGACUAGGGUGGGGUUCUUGUUUGUUUGCUUGUUUGUUUUGUUCUGUUUUUCUUGUCAAGGGCAGUGUCAGAAGAGGGUGUGUUUACCCCUUGUGCAGUAGGGAUACUGGCCACUUUAAAUGUGUCACAAAACUAUUACUUUCUGGAUAGCUUUUACUGAGAGGAGGAAACAGUUUUGGUCACGAGUACAACUGGAUUAUCAGGACAAAGCAAAAAGAUUUGGCUAUGAUCACUUCAAAGCUUAGAAGAACAUCCCCUGCAGAAAGAUGUGUAGAGUUUGUAAAUUGCAAAGAGGAGUAAGAAACCUUGACCCAACUUUUGCCCCACAGAAAAUAUAAAAGGACAAGGAAGCAGUCUUUCCCAUACACAAACCCCAAAUUACCCCGAGGGCAGUUCCUUCUAUGUGGCAGUAGAGUCUGUACUUACACUUAAGUGAACACCCUAGCUGGCCUUUGUGCAGCAGAGAGGUUAAUUAUGCUCAUGCCUCCAAAGACCUAAUUGAGAAACUAGGAUAGGAAGUUCUUAGAAAAAGAACUUGCUUGCUCAGUGAUGCAAAGUAGAAAUGUGGCAUCAUUGCCAUCAGCAGUGCUCAGUGAGGAAGUGACCCAGCUUCAGGGAGAUGCUGCCUUCGAGAGCAGGGCAGCCAGAGAUUGUCUCUUGCUGAGACACACUCAUGGAGGAGAGGAGUUAAAGGAACACAAGUGUCAUAAACAGAGGGUUGUGGUGAAUGGCACCAUGUGCAGCCCAGUGGCAAGCAGUGUUUCCCAGGGGUCUGUCUUGGGAGCAGUGUUUUUCAACAUCUUCAUCAAUGACAUCAAUGAUGGGUUCAUAGAAUCACACCACAGAAUCACAGAAUGGCCUCGGUUGAAAAGGACCACAAUGAUCAUUGAGUUUCAACCCCCCUGCUUUGUGCAGGGACACCAACCUCUAGGCCAGGCUGCCCAGUGCCACAUCCAGCCUGGCCUUGAAUGUCUCCAGCAACGGAGCAUCCACAACCUCCUCGGGCAACCUGUUCCAGUGUGUCACCACCUUCUGAGUGAAUCCUUUGAGUGCAUCCUCAGCAAGUUUGCUGAUGGCACCAAGCUGAGUGGUGCGUUUGACAUGUUAUAAUGAAGAUCAUAGAUUCAUAUAAUCAUAGAACUGCUUGGUUGGAAAAGACUUUAAAAGAUCAUCAAGUCCAACCUCAAUCUAAACAUACUAUCCUAACUCUAACAACCCACUGCUAAAUCAUGUCCGUGAUCACCACAUCCAAAUGGUCUUUAUAUUCAUUCAGGGGUGGUGACUCAACCACCUCCCUGGGGAGCCUAUUCCAGUGCUUAGCAACCCUUUCUGUAAAGAAGUGUUUCCUGAUAUCCAACCUAAACUUACCCUGGCGUAACUUGAGGCCAUUUCCCCUCAUCCUGUCACCUGUCACUAGUGAGAAGAGACCAACCCCACUCUCGCUGCAAUCACCUUUCAGGUAUUUGAAGAGAGCGAUAACAUCUACCUUCAACCUCCUCUUCCCUAAACUAAACAGCCCUGGUUCUUUAGUCGCUUCUCAACGUGUCGUCCAGAGAGACCUCAACAAACUUGAAAGUUGGGCCCAUGUGAACCUAAUGAGGUUCAUCAUAACAACCAAUAGUGGACCAUCACAAUGCUAGAAGGAUGCUUGAUGACAUCAAAGAUUGCCAAAUAGGGCUAUGUCUGUUGGGCAAUCACUGGAAGUGGAUAGGAUAAUGAAUUUGGGAAUGUAACGAAUACAUAACAAAUGUGUAAAUAUAUUCCAUUCAUAAAGGAUCAACUGGUGGAGCAUUCUUGUAGAGUUAUCCCAGUGCUACCCCAACGCUGCCAAUAAAUACCUUGCUUUGAAUUAAUUGGCGACCCAGGUGAGACAAUCUCUGCUCGGCUGCAGGACCCAUUGAGAACAGGACUCCCUGGGCACCCCUGGAUAGUUCUCUGGAGAGAAUCCUUGCCUCAACUGGAUCACUGUGGGAACAGACAAGGACCAUCUGAGGGAGAAAAAAAAAAAAAAAAAGUUCUCUUUACUUUUAAGUUUUGGGGAACAGUCCACUGGGGGGUCACUCAUAAGUCGGUGAGGAUCGCAGGGUUGGCCAGAUUUGGAAGAACCAAUUGCAGGCAGGAGUCCUGCUGGGUCUGGGAAGCCAUCCGUAAGUAAACAGAGAUUGCAGGGUUCAUGUAUGAGCACCCAGGUAUAUACAUUUAGGCCUGACUGUUGGUUCAUGCUCUACCAGGUAUGCCUGGGUUUUGAAACUAAGGUGCUGAAACUUGGCUUUGAUAACAUGUUUUUGUUUAAUGCCUAAGGAAACUGGGAACAUAAAUAUAUUGACAGGACCAGUACUUGUAAUUGAGUGUCCUAAUUGUGAGACUAAGUGAUGGGUGUUUAUGGAAGUUGGAGAACUGUACUGGUUUGACUUGUGGCUUUUGGAGGUAGUGGGACAAACUGUUUUGGUGGUAUGUGGAAGUUUAAUUGAUGAUGUAUGGAAUUCUUGAUUUUAAUGGUAUAUGGAAGUGUAAUUGAUGGUAUAUAUGGAAUCAUGACUGAUGGUAUUGAUUUUUAAUGGUAUACAAAUCUAUAACUAAUAGUUCAUGAAGGUGUAAUUAGAUGGAAUUUGCGGUAUCUUGGAAAUAGUAAUUAUUGCAACAGUUUGCUGUUGUGUUGAGAACAAUGUAUGUUAAUGUGAACAGCAUUAAAUGGACGGCAAUGAUAUCGGUUGGUUUGCUUGGCAAUAGAGAUUAGUAGAUCAGUUUAAGAACCAAUAUAUUAGUUUUGCAAAAGGAAUCCAUAAGUGAUAGUUCUAAAACUUUCCAUUUCAGAUUGAGUGGGUGAACAGUCUUGUUUUUCCUCAAUAAUUUUACAUUAUUGAGGAACAUAAUAGAAUACUUUUAUCUUCUGCCUCAAUGAUUUUGCCUCACAAGAAGUACUGGAGUCACAAUAGAAUACUUUUAUCUUUUGCCUCAAAACGUGCAAGGACAUUUUCCUCAGGUUCCACAUUUAUGUUUUACAAAAGUGUCUCACUAUGGCCUAAUAAGCAAUGGGAAUCCUCCAAUCUGGGGAAAAGUGAAUGAAAGGGAGUCAAAGGGUUCAGUGAUGAAGCUGAUGAUGAAAAAGGGGAAGGAAAAAGGGAACUCCACCGCCCUAGAUAGCACUGAGCAUGGCCAAAGGGACAUCAGCACAUAUCUAUGUGUCCAUGAAAAGGAGUGAAUAUGUAUGGCAGUGUACUGCAUAUGCAUGUCUUAACUGUAUAAAUGUAGAAGCUGAACUCUGAGAGGUGCGCUUGCUUGUCACGACGCGCGGUGCGCAACGUGAAGAAUAAAGGAAUGCUGCUUUCUAACACUACACUGGGGUUUGGGAGUUUUCUUCCUGAAUUUCAGAUGACAGGAGAAAGAAAGAAGGGCAGAGGGGGGAGCACACUGACAC
ensembl:lncRNA